UAUUUUUUAAUUAUAAAAUUUAUUUUAAUACAAUAUUUUUCUAUAUAAACAUAUAUUUAAAAUUAUUAAAUAAAAUAAAUUAAUUAUAUAUCUUUUUAAUUUUAUAUGUUAAUAUAUUUAUAUAUAUAUAUAAGAAAUAUAUUCAUUAAAAAUAAAUAUAUUAUAUAUUAUAUACUAUUUUUUUAAUAAUUUUAAAUAGCAUACUCAUACUGCUCUACCAAUCAUCUUAUUAAACAGUUUAGCACAAACAUGCAGCUCCUGCAGCAUACUGCUAUGCUCUACCAAUCAAUGCCUUAAUAUGACAUAAUGAUUAUUUUUAAUCUAAUAAAUCUGUUGAGGAAAUUUAGAUUUAAAUUUUAUUUUUAAUUAUAAUAAAAUAUGUUGAGAAAGAAUCUAACCAAAUCUUAUUGAAAAUUUUUUUUUUUAAUAAAAUAAUACAAUAAUUAAUAUAUUAUUUAAAAUUUUAAUUAUAAACAAAAAAAUAAAAAUUGUUUGCUAUUUUUUAUAAAUUUCAUUAUAUAUUAUAUUAAAAUAGAAGUGAUGUAUGAAUUAAUUAAAAGAAAACUAUAUAAAACUGCUAAAUUCCUAUUUUAUUUUUAAAGUGCUUUCAUUUAAAUAAAUAUGUGGAUAGGAGACUGAGGCUGAUCCCUACAUUGGAGUGAUAAAAAGAAGAUAAUACUCGGUUGGUUUUGAUCAGAAGCCAAAGAUCAUGGCCUCAGUUGUAUUUCAUAAAGUUACUGGAGCCGAUGAACAGUAUCUAACAGUCAAAGGCGAUGGAAUCAAAACGGGUGACCAUUUUCAAGUUUACAUCCCUGACCUCACAGUGGCUGAAGCAUCACUGAGUGAUGUAUCUUCUCAGCUUAGAAACAUCAUGUCCAAACUGAAUAAACAGGAAGUUAUUGGAGGUUUUCUUUUUGCUGGUAGGUACGCAUAGUGACUCCCUUUUUGGUUGUCCAAACGCAGAUAGCUCGCCGUUCUUGGAGAACUUCCUGGAGUUACGUUUUGGUGGUGUAUUCUGCCAAGGUGAGAUCGGAAGAAGCUUGUUAGUGGAGGAGGGUGAGGAGAAGGAAGAAAAUAGCAGUGAAAGAUGUCUUCACGUUGUUAGUUCUGUGUAUCUUGUUGUCUCGUAUGCAUGCAUGUUCUUAAUCCAAACGCAUUUGUUUC